rnacentral:lncRNA from 1 species
GGUUCUCUCGGUAGCUGGAGUUAGCUCGGCUGUACGGUACGCCGACGGUCCGAAAACUCAUGCUGUUGAGUGCAAGAUCAAGAACUGCUGAAUUUUGACCUCUGUGCUGAUCUUCUGCUCUGCCCUAACCUGCAUUAAGAAAGCCAGAUCAGAUGAUGCCAGCUAGCCAAACUCAAUCCACCGGGUUGUUCGAAAAGGAAGGGAGAGGAGGUAACAGGAAGCAGUCAGCAGUGAAGGCAACUUCAUUGAUAUCAUUGCAGUAGUCCAUCCAUAUUCAGUACAGUACAUCGCCAACAAAAUCAUAUUCCCUAUGCAGCCUAACAAAUACUAAUCAGCACACAUCCAUCGUAUAGGCAGAGUGCCUUCCUAAGGUGCACAUUACCAGAAUCAGCAGGAGGGAGCAAGGGA